UUUCUUUGGUGGCUAAAUCAACCACCAAGAAUGCACAGGCGAAAUCCAUCAGCCCCUGUUGGUUGGGGAUGAGGGGAUGAUCUCAGGAUGAUAGGGCCUUAGUGUUGCUGAUUCUCAGGAACAUUUCGUGGGAGCCAGUUGCUGAUGUGGGUGAAUAAAGGCACGGGGAGUAUCAGUUUGUAUCUUAUAAAAAAGAAAACAAAAACACAUGUCCAAAUGGGACUGUACAAAUCCCCAGAAUUAUAUUUGUCCCAUCAUCCUGAGACACAUACUUCUAAUCACAGAACAAUUAGCAGGAAUGGAGUCACCACCUGUCAUUAUCAGCCGCUAACUUCCUCUGUGACUGUAAGCAGAAAAGCAUUUUGGCAGCAAGUGCUGCAUUCAGAGGGAGCCCGAUGGCAACAGUCUGAAAGGGCAAGAGAAAACCUCACCAGCAGCUGAAGUGCAUUUAAAGGCACUGAAGGCUUGGCUGAAUUAAAAGGGGAUAAUGAAUUUCAAAUGGCUGUUUAUGUGGAGCUGUGAUGGAUGCAGAGAGCUUAAGUGCCACUAGGGGGUUAUGACAACCAAACUGGUGAAAUCAGGUCAUUGUCUUCUGUCUGUGGAAGCUGUGAGUCAAGCAGAUCCAGGGUCAGCGAGAUGGAAGAGUAGUCUGUCGGAUCAGGAUGAAGGCACUCGUCUAAGAGCAGACUUCACACGAUAAGUCCUUGGAGACUCAAGCAAUACAUCCUCCUCUUUGCUGUGGGGGAGUUUGGAGUGGCAGUACCAGCAGCAUCCACGCCACCAAAGGCUGAUGGAGGAGGUGCAACGCUACGGCACAUGGGAUGUCACAGAGGAAAUCUAAAAAUGAGUAGGUCUCUUUCAGAUGGCAGAUGUUAGCCCAAGACAAGAAGAAUAACUUCUGCAUACAUACAUGUCUGACGUGAGUAAAAAGCCUGCUGGCUGUGGGUGAAAAUGAUUUUCUGUAUCUCUCUGUGUCACAAUGGAGAGAGACACGUCUCCCAGUACUGUUGUUUUUUGUUUCAUAAAGAUGUCAAGUAGAAGAUCAGAGUUACUCAGGAAGGCUUCUAACGGUUUCCACCACCUACCCUGGCCUGUCCAGUCUGGCUCCAGUUACUGUAUACUGUAGUAUAGCAGUAUACAAAAGAUAUAGAUCUAGUGAGUAAUCCCACUGUCUUGAAACUUAAAGGCAAGUAUGGACUAAGAAAGCAGGAAGACUCUGACUAUGCUGAAAAUAGUUGCCUACCCUGGAGUCUGCAGUCAAACUGAAAAUGGACUUGAGGAAACAAAGUAAAGUCCAAAGAUACUGCAGCUGUGGAGCAUAUUUUCAGAAAGAAGGUAAAGAAGUGUUUGGAUAUUAUUUUGGCAAUCAAUUCUUCAAACCAUUGUUCCUUUGAAGCAUUUGGGAGAAUAUACAGUGCUCUUUGUGUUCGACUUGGAAAUUGGAAGCAUUUAGCUAUACAGCAAUUUAGGAAUCUUCGCUAUCCGGAAAGUCUCCUGAAAUUCACAACGCUGUGAAUAUGCAGAGUGAGUUUUUGUGCUGAGUAUAUGUAGUGACAUAACACAACACAGGUUUUACCUGACACAACACGGGGGCGAUCGUGGCUCAAGAGUUGGGCGUUCGCCUUGUGAUCGGAAGGUUGCCGGUUCGAGCCCCGGCUUGGACAGUCUCGGUCGUUGUGUCCUUAGGCAAGACACUUCACCUGUUGCCUACUGGUGGUGGUCAGAGGGCCCGGUGGCGCCAGUGUCCGGCAGCCUCUCCUCUGUCAGUGCGCCCCAGGGUGGCUGUGGCUACAAUGUAGCUGCCAUCACCAGUGUGUGAAUGGGUGGAUGACUGGUUGUGUAAAGCACUUUGGGGUCCUUAGGGACUAGAAAGCGCUAUACAAAUACAGGCCAUUUACAUUUACCCACCUCUGCUUCUGUUAAAAAAAGGUUCUGUCUUUUUAAGGCCCGAAGAUCCACGAGGCACCUCAACUAUCAACGCAUGUGUACACUGACCUUUAACCUUUCCUCUUAAAGAAAACAGAAAUAUAAAAAAUAUAGAUAUAAAAUAACCAAAUAGUGACAAAUGUUUGUGACCAAAAGACUCAACAAAGCACAUAAUCAAUAAGUUUGCAUAUGAAAUGCAAGAUUAAGUAACUCUCACACUGAUGACGCUGUGGAUACUUUCCCAGGCACAACAUGAACUGAGGGGUUCAGCUGAACUGACAAAUGUGACAUAGAAGUCAUGAGAUUGUGAGCAAAUGUUUUCUAUUAGUGGCAUCAGUGUGACUCACUGGGACUCAAAGAAGGCAAACUCCUCCCAGCUACAUCACAUGCUGUGACACGUAACCAUGGUAACCACUUACCUCAGUUACACGAUGCAAUGCUCGAUGUACAUGAGGGAAAUUUUCUUUUCGUGUGUUGCUGAUACUGUGAAAGGGAAUUAUAUUUCAUGUGUCUCCAAGCUUGAAUCCUUUACCAGAGGUUUGGGUGUUUGAGCUCUGACGUUGCAUCUGCUGUCUGCUCCAGUCACUCGUCGUGUUUGGGGUUCAUUUUAAAUAAUCAGUCAGCAGAAUGAAAAAUAAUGCACCUUCUGUCCUCCACCUGCUAACUGUAUCUGUGCAAAUCAUUACAAGUGAUAAUGGCCAUUUAAUGGGCUCCUAGCUUUCAAAGUAAGUAAUAAAAUUACUACACACAAAUUUGUCAGAUGUCCAGAAAAGUGAGAGUGCAAUUGUUUCAAGUGGUUUAACUGCCUUUAUUUCAUGAAGCAUUCUCAUUUCUUCCCUCUUGCAUAUAAAAGGGAUGCAAUCAGACAUAAUGAUGUAUGAAUACUAUUUUAAAGUGCCAAAAUUAUUCUUUCACAUUCAGUCAUUUUAUAUUAAACAUGAAAAUAUGUCAGACAUGUUGGGUUUGCCAUCAUAGGCUGAAAUAUUUGAAUCCUCCUUCACCUUGUCUCAGAAGUCUCUGAUGUUGAAGUAUUACUGUUGGAUUGUUACAUUCUUUUACAGCUCCAAUUAUCUGCAGAACAUGUCUUCUUCUGAAACGAGCCACUGUGGCUGCAAAGGCAGACCUCCAGCACACUGUUAAAAAAAAGAAAUCCUAAAAAAACAGUAAUAUUCCAGCAGCUGGGGCGCCAAAAUAAUACCAGAAAAUAACUUUCUCAUAAAAAUACGGUUAUUUUCAGUAAUGACAAUACAGUUUGUUGCCCUAAUUUUACUGGGAUUUUGCCUUUUUCAAGUGCUUUUAAACAUUAAAUUAGGAACAUUUUAAUGUGAUUAAACAAUGAAAUUACCUAUAAACAAGGUCAAUGAAUGCAGCAAUAUGAAUAAUAAUACUUAAAUGUACAGAAAUAUACAGUUAACAGUUGGUUUAAAUAAUAAUAAUGGAUUGCAUUUAUAUAGCGCUUUUCGAGACCCUCAAAGCGCUUUACAAUUCCACUAUUCAUUC
ensembl:lncRNA